rnacentral:rRNA from 1 species
AUUGAACGCUGGCGGCAUGCUUUACACAUGCAAGUCGAACGGUAACGGGGAGCUUGCUCCGCUGACGAGUGGCGAACGGGUGAGUAAUGCGUCGGAACGUGCCGAGUAGUGGGGGAUAACGCAUCGAAAGGUGUGCUAAUACCGCAUACGAACUGAGGUUGAAAGUGGGGGACCUUCGGGCCUCACGCUAUUCGAGCGGCCGAAGUCUGAUUAGCUAGUUGGUGAGGUAAAGGCUCACCAAGGCGACGAUCAGUAGCGGGUCUGAGAGGAUGAUCCACCACCCUGGAAGUGAGAGACGGCACAGACUCCUACGGGAGGCAGCAGUGGGGAAUUUUGGACAAUGGGCGCAAGCCUGAUCCAGCCAUGCCGCGUGUCUGAAGAAGGCCUUCGGGUUGUAAAGGACUUUUGUCCGGGAGCAAAUGCUGGUGGCUAACAUCCACCGGAGCUGAGAGUACCGGAAGAAUAAGCACCGGCUAACUACGUGCCAGCCGCCGCGGUAAAAC